rnacentral:rRNA from 1 species
AUUGAACGCUGGCGGCAUGCCUUACACAUGCAAGUCGAACGGUAACGGGCCUUCGGGUGCCGACGAGUGGCGCACGGGUGAGUAAUACAUCGGAACGUGCCCGAUCGUGGGGGAUAACGCGUCGAAAGCUUUGCUCAAAUCGCAUACGAUCUACGGAUGAGAGCGGGGGAGCGCAAGGCCCUGCGCGGACUGAGCGGCCGAUGGGGGAUUAGGUAGUUGGUGGGAUAAAAGCUUACCAAGCCGACGAUCUGUAGCUGGUCUGAGAGGAUGAUCAGUCACACUGGGACUGAGACACGGCCCAGACUCCUACGGGAGGCAGCAGUGGGGAAUUUUGGACAAUGGGCGCAAGCCUGAUCCAGCCAUGCCGCGUGCAGGAUGAAGGCCUUCGGGUUGUAAACUGCUUUUGUACGGAACGAAAAGCCUUCUUUUAAUACAGGAGGGUCAUGACGGUACCGUAAGAAUAAGCACCGGCUAACUACGUG